GGGGUUGUGGCUCAGUGGUGGAGCACAUAGAGCACUUUGCAUCCAAAAAGGACCCAGGUUCAAUCCCUGCCUGAGAUCCUA